rnacentral:rRNA from 1 species
CCUACGGGUGGCUGCAGUGGGGAAUAUUGGACAAUGGGCGAAAGCCUGAUCCAGCCAUGCCGCGUGUGUGAAGAAGGCCUUCGGGUUGUAAAGCACUUUCAGUGGGGAAGAAAGCCUUGGGGCUAAUACCCUCGAGGAAGGACAUCACCCACAGAAGAAGCACCGGCUAACUCCGUGCCAGCAGCCGCGGUAAUACGGAGGGUGCGAGCGUUAAUCGGAAUUACUGGGCGUAAAGCGCGCGUAGGCGGUCUGAUAAGCCGGUUGUGAAAGCCCCGGGCUCAACCUGGGAACGGCAUCCGGAACUGUCAGGCUAGAGUGCAGGAGAGGAAGGUAGAAUUCCCGGUGUAGCGGUGAAAUGCGUAGAUAUCGGGAGGAAUACCAGUGGCGAAGGCGGCCUUCUGGACUGACACUGACGCUGAGGUGCGAAAGCGUGGGUAGCAAACAGGAUUAGAUACCCUUGUGGUC